rnacentral:misc_RNA from 1 species
UGUUAUUAUUAUUAUUAUUGACAGACAUGGCUAAAACUUCACGCUAUCUAAUAAUUACUCAAAGAAAGAUCUAAAACUAUCAAAAAUCUUAGGUCACAUAUGCAUAUUCUCCAAAAUCUCCAUCAAAUCUUCAAACCAACAGAAAACAUUUAAACAAAGGCAAUUUUCACCAAAACCCUAAAACCCAGCAGCAGCAAAAUAAUCAAAAUCCCAAAAGAAUCAAACCCUUAAGGCUCCGUUUAGUUUACAACAGAAACGAAAUGAGAAUUUGAAUCCCAUUCGAUUCCCCUAUUUAAGAUGCUGAUUUUUGGAAAUUAAAUAUGCGGCCAAAUGCCCCAAAAACUUGCUAGAAAUUGUAUAACCUUAAAUUUUGAUGGUACUCGAAUUCCGCUACUAUUAUCUAUCAGGCGUCUGGCUUUUGCCACUCCAACCCCAAGCACCCACGCCUCCGUCCUCUGAACAGGAGAAACAAGCGGGGACUAGCUCAGCUGGGUGUGCAAAUUUGAGCG